GUCGAGGUCGCUUAGCUCGGUAUAGCGCCGGUCUUGAAAACCGGUGGGGCAACCCACGGGAGUUCGAAUCUCUCCCUCGACGCCA
rnacentral:tRNA from 1 species